ensembl:lncRNA
GCCGGCCGGGCGCAGCUGCGCCUCGUCGGGAGCCGCGGGCGGGGCCCGCCCCAAAGCCUCUUAAGCUCCUCCGGAGGCUGCCGGGAGCCACGGGGGAGUUUCUGCGGUUCUGUAUGGGAGACGGAGUGAGUUCUGUUUCUUUGUCGGGCCCUGGUGCUGCUGAGGCUGAGAAGCGGCUGCUGUGAGCCCUUUUGCGGUAAGGACCAGCCCAAACAGGCUGAGCGAGGGCUGUAGCAGAGCCUCUCAUCGGCCCGAAGCAGUGAGCUCGUGGAAGCGGGGAGUGUUUGAGAGUCGCUCGGUAAGAUCUCCCCUGCUGGGGCUCCUGUAGGGUUGCUGCCCGACUGCCUCCGUGUCUUUGGGAUCGGCACGGCGCCGCCGCUGGGGGCUCCCGCGUGGCUUUUUAGUAGGACCGGCACGGGGCCUCCGCCCGAGACCGAGCACGAUCCCGGGGUGGCCUCGGCCACUGCGGAGUGUUUUGCGGGUGCUCUCACCCAUCCCGUUUCCAGCGGUGGGAGCGAGCAGGUUGGGACCGUGGUUUUAUUUUUUUUUUUCCCCGCCUCUUCCUUCCCGUGUAACUGCAGGAGCACGAUUUAGGUUCCCACCGUGGAGACCUGGCAGGGCAGCUCGCACGACUGAAGUGCUGUCGUGGAUGGCUCUGUUCCUUUUAGGAAAGGCAGACCGGCCAGGCGGUGGAGUCUCUUUUCGAGGGAGAGAACGGGAACGUAUCGAGCUCCACCUAGGGAUGACUGAAGAACCAGCGGAGCGUUUGUGCGUGAGGCUGAAGAGGCAGCUGGAAAUGGUGCCCACAGCUGUGAGGCCAGUUCUCAUGGUAGGCUCCAGGAGUUUCCUGCAAUGUGUCAAAGGUAAGAUCUUCUGACACAGGUGACGAAGGAGGCAUUGAGGAGAGGGGCUGCUGGAGCUCCCUAUUGCAGAAGAGCCAUCUGGGGACAGGAAGGCCAGGGGCAGCCUGGAGCGUGCCAGUCGUGAGACCGCAGCGUUUGGGAUCUUGUGUGGAAGCUGCAAAGCAAUGAGUAGGAUUGUAACACUGGACUUGGAGGGAGCCAGGUUUGUCCUCUUGAAGGGCCUACUUGGAGGUAACCCUUGCUCAAGCAUAGGAAGGGGUCCUGUGAAUGCUGGAGCAUUACUUCGUCCAUGCUGAGGUGCGCUGCGUCCCAAGGAGGAAGGAAGUGCGCAGGAAUGGUGGGGGACCUGCAGGGCUGACUGAGGAACUUGAAGGGGAGAAGGAAGAGAGAGGCUGAGGAAGGCCAAGUCCCUCUGAGUAUCAGCUUUGGGAGGGAGGUCAAGGCUAAUGGAAGUUUGUCAACAGGAGAGACUGGAGAAAUUGCAGGCCUGUGCUUCACAAGGCAAGGGCCUGAGUAAUGGAGGAUGUGUUGGAUGCCUGUUUUGGUUUCAGUGGUCUCUGCUGAGAGUGCUCCUGGGCAACCUGGGGUCCUGGAGGAGAGAGUCUCAGAGGAAGGUUGCCUUCCCCUCAGUUGCAGAGGAGCUGGUCAAAAGUGGUUCAGGCAGAAAGGAGGCCAGCAAAUGCCUGAGCUGUAGAGGGCUAUGCCUGUGCCCGCUGAGAGCUGGCAGCGGUGACCGGCAAAUGGUGCUCUCUGUCACUUUUCCCUGCUGUUUCCUGUGGGGAAAGGUACCUGAAGACUGGAGGGUGGCGGAUGCCACCGCAGCCUUCAGAAAGGGUGUGGAGGAUGGCGUGUGCAACUUGGAGGUAGGUUGGCCUCACCUCUGUUCCUGGGGAGGUGACGUAACAGCUUGUUGCAGGUGUCAUUGCCAUGUGACCGGAAGAGAAGGAAUUUGCAAGGAGCAGUCCAGGUGGAUGGACAGAGGGGAAGUCAUGCCGGACCAAAAGGGCGAGGGCUGCAGCGGAGAGCUUUGCCGAGAGGGUUGGCUGGAGCAGGUGUGCGGUUUCCCCAGCAGUGGGAUGAAGGAGGUGAGAGAGGGGGAGCCCCAGGUGGGAGCCCUCAUGGCGGAGGGCUGCCCCCAGGCGUGCCCCCUUGGAGGUGGUUUGUGGAGGUCUCUGUGCAGGUUCAGGCUGGAGGAAGGAUCCUGGUGGUGUGAGCAGGGUGCCUCUGUGGAGAGCAAGGGUGGAAGGUGCGUGGCAGGCCCUGUCCCGGAGGAGUGGAGUUGAUGGAGUGUGGCCCUUUGAUGCUGGAGUGAGGGGUCCUGGUGGGGCUGAAGUCCUGCGUGGAAGAGGGAGAUCCCAGGCGCUGCGAUGCGGAGGAGGAGCGGAGCCAGCGGGUGCUCUAGUGGCUCCUGUGUGGUGAUGGCUGCUUAGUGGUGGUGUUCCUGGUCCUGGGCUGAAAGGAGGAGGAGGAGAAAGCUUUUAGUGCCUUACUUCAAAGCUCAGGCUUGGAUGACCUUGCUGAGGCUGAACAAGAGUACAAAACCUGUGAGUUAAAUGGGUGGAACAAAACUACAGCUGCUGCACCUUACCGGGCCGAGAGUCGUGACCUGAUCUUCCAUCUUUUACACAAAACGAGUCAGAUCUUCAGCUUGCUGCCACGAGUAACUCACACAUUCUCCAAUUCCUCGUAUGGAAAGAAGGCUUUCUUCUAAGGGAUUAUUCCAAUGCGUAAAAUCGGUGAAUUCACCUGUACAGUAAUGAAAUACUUUCAAUAAUUUCAUGCAAAACUUUCUUUAAGCAGUGCCUUGGGCCAAUCUUUCCAUGUGAGAGCUGCAUGAGUAAAAGUUCUCCUUUCGGUCCAUUUCUGACUUAUUUUUUAUAAUUUAGUUUAAAAGUUCAAGUCAUCCAACCAAAGCUGUGACAACAGGAAUAACAGGCUCGUGGUAUAACAGCAGUAGGAUUUAGGCACCUGUGGAGGGAGAAACACUGAAGAUUUCACCGUGGGUUCAGGGUGGGCCAAACAUUAAAAUCCCUUUCUUGGUUUAAGAUCAGAAUGCACCUUUGUGGGAUUCAUUUCUUCCUUACAUCUCAGUAACCAAGUAUGCAUUGAGUGACCUACACCUUUAAGGGGGAAAAUGGUCUCAGUCAAGCGCUGGAUGAAUAUAAAUAGUAAUAAUAAAAGCCUAUCAGUAAGGAAAAGCUGAGCAUUCUUUUUGAAUGAAAACAUAAUAAUUAAUAAUAAUCAUAAUCAUAAUCUGUGGCACAGGACCCAAAGAGACCUUUUCCUCACAGUUUCACACAGCAGUUCUCUCAUCAGCUCUGAAACCAUCUACCUCUGCAACUCAGAAAGCUUUCUUUUUUUCUUUUCCUGAAAGUUCAAGGAUACGUUAUCCAUUUUCUGGGCAAGUUUAGAACUUUGGGUCUCACUUCUGCAUACACGGAAUCUUCUCUAAAGUCAGUAAGACAGAACAAAACCCGAGACCCUCUUUGGACUGCAAAUCCAGAAGCAUUCGACCCUGCGGUUCUGCCAAGCAGUGUGAAACACCGUAUUUGUAUCCGCCUCACGCAGCUCCCGCCCGAGUUUUUUCUCCGCGCUGAGCAUCAGUCUGCAGUCCUCGCACAAACGCACGGGCGCGUUCUCAGUGCCUGAAAACAUCUCUAUGCAAAAAUCAAGAUAUAACUCUCUUUGCUACCACUUUUUUUUUUUUGUCUCAUCCUCAGCCAUCCGUUUGAAUGUAAACGUUACAGUAUACCUCACAUCCGUAAGGAGUCUUUACAUUCAGGUGUAGUUUUAAAAAGUCUCAUAGGAACCUCUUGCAGUCGAUUAAUGGGCACAUCGGAAGCAAAUCAACUGGAAGUACGGGAUGAGUGUUAUUUAAUUCUCCCUAGGGCUUUGCUAUUCACACACUCCUCUGUGCAGGUAGAUAUUCACGUGCGUAUGAAAGGAAAACUCACCUUCAAGGCGUAACAAAGGGAAACCCACACUGGGAUCAUUCGUAGGAAAGCAUCAUUUCACAGUACAUAGGUUUAUGGAUUGUGAGAGAUAGUGAUGCAUUUGUAAGGAUGAUCCCUACGAUAAGGUUCUGUGGUUUUAUUUUCUCAAGUCUAGACGCAUUUAGUCAAUAAUGAUUUCUUCAAAAGAUAGCCACAUCUCCAAGACAAGAACAGAACGGCCACGUGGCAGAUUUCACACAACCUCACAACAGUACCAUGAACUAUACGGGAGUUUCAUAAUUCAUGAAGGAACAAUAUUCCCUCCCGGGCACUAAAACUAGUCCAGAUAACACCAAGAACAGCUGAAAAGCCGGACAGUGUGAUUUCCCCUCUCCUCAAGUAUAGAGAGACACAAGUAUGAAACAGCUGGAAAACAUAUUCAAAGGAUGACAGGCACCACGUCACAGCAGAAGUGCCAGGUAAGCUCAGCGCAAAACAGUCCCUUUACUUCUUUCAUUCUUUCUUUCAUUUGUAACCAGAUUCAUGAGUGGAUGGAAAUGCUUGACAAAGUGAUAAUGAAUCUCUCUGAACGUUUACAUGGUUCCCAUCAGUGCAAAGACUCACCCAGUGCUAAAAGUAAUUCACUACAGUGUGUAAAAAAAAUAAACAAAUCAUUCUCCUUUUCACUGCAUUUGGCAUUUUUGGCUCCCUGUGUACGAAAUGGCCACGGUGUUUCCUGUAUACAGGGUCUGCGGACGGCUUGUGCGGUAACAAGAGAUUGCAGCUGCUGCUACAAGUGAAGAGUUCACAAUGAAAAGACAGCGCUUGGUAGCAUCUUCUUACAGAGAGAAAAGUAGCUGAAGCAUAAAUAUAUACACUAAUAGGUAAAUAUAUAGACAGUGUCCAAUACAACACCGGGCUCAGUUUUUCAAAGGUAUUGCAGCAUAACCAGAUAACAGUAACAUACAAGGGCUGCUCCACAAAUAAUACCUCCUACUGUAUUAUGCAGGCCCACGACGUCAGAGGUGGAUGUUGGUGGUAUGACAGUAGAGACCGAACUUCCCCACCAAUAUUCCAUUACUCUUCAUUGCCAUGUGACAGGUGGCAGCAGAGGGACAGUCUGACAAAAUGGCACCUGAUAUGGAAGCAUG